AUUGAACGCUGGCGGCAUGCUUUACACAUACAAGUCGAACGGCAGCGCGGGCUUCGGCCUGGCGGCGAGUGGCGAACGGGUGAGUAAUACAUCGGAACGUGCCCAGUAGUGGGGGAUAGCUCGGCGAAAGCCGGAUUAAUACCGCAUACGACCUGAGGGUGAAAGCGGGGGAUCUUCGGACCUCGCGCUAUUGGAGCGGCCGAUGGCAGAUUAGCUAGUUGGUGGGGUAAAGGCCUACCAAGGCGACGAUCUGUAGCUGGUCUGAGAGGACGACCAGCCACACUGGGACUGAGACACGGCCCAGACUCCUACGGGAGGCAGCAGUGGGGAAUUUUGGACAAUGGGCGAAAGCCUGAUCCAGCAAUGCCGCGUGUGUGAUGAAGGCCUUCGGGUUGUAAAGCACUUUUGGCGGGAACGAAAAGGACUGUGCCAAUACCACGGUUCGAUGACGGUACCCGCAGAAUAAGCGCCGGCUAACUACGUGC
rnacentral:rRNA from 1 species